UAGAGGAAGAUGCUGGAACAUUGUUGGUACUAUUCCCAUAAGAACUUCCUCCAUAGCUGGACCUUCUUCCAAACUUGUCACUAUGCUCUUGAUCAAGACGGUCCAAUGUUUCCAAAGCAUGGAGAAUUUCAUGUUUAGUCAUUCCAGUACGCCGAAGGCGCUGAAGCAGAUCUAUCUGCUCUAUGAUAUCAGCAAAACUGACCCAGGAACUCUAUUAUCUUCAUUUAGUGUAAACAAGUUCUAGUGCCAAAGAGGAUUCGUGGCAUACAGCAGGCUCUAGUUUUCUCCCAGAAGUUGCCUGCAAUAACUUGAUGAUGAUACUUUGAAUCCAGUGCUAUUCAUAGCCAUCAAACAUACUUAUUGCUCUUUACCUUUUCUAACACAUGAGGAUUCUACAUGAUGCAAAUUAACAAUCUUACUUUUAUUAAUAAA